rnacentral:rRNA from 2 species
ACGGGGUGCAGCAGGCGCGAAACCUUUGCAAUGUGCGCAAGCACGACAAGGUUAAUCCGAGUGUUUCCUGCUAAAGGAAUCUUUUGUUAGUCGUAAAACCACUGAUGAAUAAGGGGUGGGCAAGUUCUGGUGUCAGCCGCCGCGGUAAAACCAGCACCUCAAGUGGUCAGGAGGAUUAUUGGGCCUAAAGCAUCCGUAGCCGGCUCUGCAAGUUUUCGGUUAAAUCCAUUUGCUUAACAAAUGGGCUGCCGAAAAUACUACAUAGCUAGGGAGUGGGAGAGGUAGACGGUAUUCGGUAGGAAGGGGUAAAAUCCUUUGAUCUAUUGAGGACCACCUAUGGCGAAGGCAGUCUACCAGAACACGUUCGACGGUGAGGGAUGAAAGCUGGGGGAGCAAACCGGAUUAGAUACCCGGGUAGUCCCAGCUGUAAACGAUGCAGACUCGGUGAUGCGCUGGCUUGUGGCCAGUGCAGUGCCGCAGGGAAGCCGUUAAGUUUGCCGCCUGGGAAGUACGUACGCAAGUAUGAAACUUAAAGGAAUUGGCGGGGGAGCAC